rnacentral:rRNA from 1 species
CCUACGGGGGGCAGCAGUGAGGAAUAUUGGUCAAUGGGCGGGAGCCUGAACCAGCCAAGCCGCGUGAGGGAAGAAGGUACAGCGUAUCGUAAACCUCUUUUGUCAGGGAACAAAGGCGGGGACUAGUCCCCGGAUGAGGGUACCUGAAGAAAAAGCAUCGGCUAACUCCGUGCCAGCAGCCGCGGUAAGACGGAGGAGGCGAGCGUUAUCCGGAUUUAUGGGGUUGAAGGGGUGCUCAGGGGGCCUGUUAAGUCAGCGGUAAAAGCCCGGGGCUCAACCCCGGCGAGCCGUUGAAACAGGCGGGCUGGAGUUGGAGAGAGGUACGAGGAAUGCGCGGUGUAGCGGUGAAAUGCUUAGAUAUCGCGCAGAACCCCGAUUGCGAAGGCAGCGUACGG